UACGGAGGGUGCAAGCGUUGUCCGGAAUCACUGGGCGUAAAGGGCGCGUAGGCGGCUCAUGAAGGCUGUGGUGAAAGUCCGGGGCUCAACCUCGGAUCGGCCGUGGCGACUCGUGGGCUGGAGCACUGUAGAGGCGGGGUGGAAUUCCGGGUGUAGCGGUGGAAUGCGUAGAGAUCCGGAAGAACACCAGUGGCGAAGGCGGCCCGCUGGGCAGUGGGCUGACGCUGAGGCGCGACAGCGUGGGGAGCAAACG
rnacentral:rRNA from 1 species